GAAGGGGGAUGCAAGCGUUAUCCGGAAUCACUGGGCGUAAAGCGUCUGUAGGUGGUGAUGCUAGUCACUGGUGCAAAACUCUGGCUCAACCGGAGGAAAGCCAGUGAAACUGCAUGACUAGAGUGUGGGAGAGGUAGAAGGAAUUCCCUGAGUAGCGGUGAAAUGCGUAGAUACAGGGAAGAACACCGGAGGCGAAAGCGUUCUACUGGAACACAACUGACACUGAGAGACGAAAGCUAGGGGGGCGAAUGGG
rnacentral:rRNA from 1 species